rnacentral:rRNA from 1 species
GACGAACGCUGGCGGCGUGCCUAAUACAUGCAAGUAGAACGCACAGUUUAUACCGUAGCUUGCUACACCAUAGACUGUGAGUUGCGAACGGGUGAGUAACGCGUAGGUAACCUGCCUGGUAGCGGGGGAUAACUAUUGGAAACGAUAGCUAAUACCGCAUAAUAUUAAUUAUUGCAUGAUAAUUAAUUGAAAGGUGCAAUUGCACCACUACCAGAUGGACCUGCGUUGUAUUAGCUAGUAGGUGAGGUAACGGCUCACCUAGGCGACGAUACAUAGCCGAACUGAGAGGGUGAUCAGCCACACUGGGACUGAGACACGGCCCAGACUCCUACGGGAGGCAGCAGUAGGGAAACUUCGGCAAUGGACGAAAGUCUGACCGAGCAACGCCGCGUGAGUGAAGAAGGUUUUCGGAUCGUAAAGCUCUGUUGUAAGAGAAGAACGGGUGUGAGAGUGGAAAGUUCACACUGUGACGGUAUCUUACCAGAAAGGGACGGCUAACUACGUG